GCCUGACUAAUCUUUUAAUUUUUACUUUUAGUAGAGAUGGUGUCUCAUAUUAUUUCCCAGGCUGGUGGAUCACCUGAGGUCAGGAGUUUGAGACCAUCCUAACCAAUAUGGUGAAACUCCAUCUCUACUAAAAAUACAAAAUUAGUUAGGCAUGAUGGUGCAUGCCUGUAAUCUCAGUUACUCGAGAGACUAAGGCAGGAGAAUCGCUUGAACCCGGGAGGCAGAGGUUGCAGUGAGCUGAGAUCGCACAACUGCGCUCUAGCCUGGGCGACAGAGUGAGACUCCAUCUCGAAAACAAAAAACAAAACAAACACAAAACAAACAAACCU
rnacentral:lncRNA from 10 species